rnacentral:rRNA from 1 species
GAUGAACGCUGGCGGCGUGCCUAAUACAUGCAAGUCGAGCGAACAGACGAGGAGCUUGCUCCUCUGACGUUAGCGGCGGACGGGUGAGUAACACGUGGAUACCUACCCUUAAGACCGGGGAUAACUUGGGGAACCGGGGCCAAUACCGGAAAAUAUAUUUAAACGGAAGGGUUAAUUGUUAAAGAAGGGUUUUCUGGUACCUAUUAAAUGAAUCCGCGCCGCAUUAGCUAGUUGGUAAGGUAACGGCUUACCAAGGCAACGAUGCGUAGCCGACCUGAGAGGGUGAUCGGCCACACUGGAACUGAGACACGGUCCAGACUCCUACGGGAGGCAGCAGUAGGGAAUCUUCCGCAAUGGGCGAAAGCCUGACGGAGCAACGCCGCGUGAGUGAUGAAGGUCUUCGGAUCGUAAAACUCUGUUAUUAGGGAAGAACAAAUGUGUAAGUAACUAUGCACGUCUUGACGGUACCUAAUCAGAAAGCCACGGCUAACUACGUG